GUGAAUCCCAUGGUCUGCGAGCUUCCGGCUCUGAGUCUGCGGGUCGGGACUAUAGACCGGUCGGGACAGUCUCU